rnacentral:sRNA from 1 species
CAGGAGGUCAGUUCACAGUACCCAGAAACUCUACGAGUGGUAGAAAAGU